UACGUAGGGUGCGAGCGUUGUCCGGAAUUAUUGGGCGUAAAGAGCUCGUAGGCGGUUUGUCACGUCUGCUGUGAAAUCCCGAGGCUCAACCUCGGGCCUGCAGUGGGUACGGGCAGACUGGAGUGCGGUAGGGGAGCAUGGAAUUCCUGGUGUAGCGGUGGAAUGCGCAGAUAUCAGGAGGAACACCGAUGGCGAAGGCAGUUCUCUGGGCCGUAACUGACGCUGAGGAGCGAAAGCAUGGGGAGCGAACAGG
rnacentral:rRNA from 1 species